CGCGCGCAUCGCCGCUCUCCCUCAGACACACUGGAGGGAAAGGUCAAACUAAAGGCGAGGGAAUGGGGAGGCCGGAGGAGCCGCCGCCGCCGCCGCGCGCCAUGACGGACACGGUCGAGGCGGCUUUCUCUCCGCGGACGCCGCCGAGCCGUGGCUCUCGUCGCGCCCCCUGCCCCCGCCCCCCACCCCGUGUCCGUUCACCCCGCGCCCCCUCCCCCCCUGGCGCUCGCGCGGCCACGUGCGCCCUCCCCCCCGCCCCCCAGGCGCUUCAGGCGCGCGUCGGGCCUGGGGCGCGCGCUGGCGGGGAGCGCGUGCCGGAGGGUGGGAGCCGCGGCGGACGGGCUGGCGGCCUGCUCGCGCGACCCCCGACCCCCGCGGCCGGAGCCAGCCCGGGAACCCUAGAACUGGGCAAAUCAGCACUUACUCAGCAUAUCCCUCCUGUAGGUCUCAUUGACCUUGGCGGCAUCCUGGAGGGACUAUCUCAAAGGAUUGCUAACUUUAGAGCAUGGUGAGAACCAGCAUGCUUUGGCGAGAGCUGGUCCCAGGACGACAGAGUCUUCAGACUGGGUCCCUGGAUGUCGGAGCCUCGCUGAAGCUGAUUCACAGUAGACAUUUUAUCUACCUGAAAGAAUACACUGUGUACAAAUGUAUAGCAUUUGACAAAGUUCCCAAACAACCCUGAAGAAAAGAUUCUAUAUAUUAUGUAUAUGUCACAGAAGCCAUUCAGCACUGAAGAACCUGGAAAUCACCAGGUGAAGAUGGUGACUGGCAGCGUUCGUUUCUCUUCCUUCUGCUGCAGUUUAACCUCUGACAGUUCCGGACACUGCUUCCUCCUUCAGAAAUUCUGUGGGAGUUCUGGAGAAUAAAUUUACCAUCACCAUCCAGCAGCAUACAGCCUAGACGUUUCAGUUUUCUCUGUAGGGAAGAGAUGUGUGUGUAGACUUUGUCUCCCUCCUCUCACCCCCCCUACACACACACACACACACACACACACACACCCUGCCAGCUGCUUGUUCUGCUCCCCCUGAAUGAUGUCACAGCUCCUAAUCAGAACUCUUCUCCAGAAAAUUAUAAGACUUCACAGCACUGAGCCUGUUUACAAUAUUUACCAUUGGUUAUAUUUUACUUAGUCUAUUGAGUAUAUUUUCCUAAGUAAUUUCAGGGUGUAGCUUGCCUUUUCCUCAGUAGAGUAUGAAUGCCUCUGGGCAGGUGUACUGUCUCUCUCUUUUAUUUUAACCUUUUGCACUCGGAUGUCGAGUGUGACUCGACACGGUUAGCAUCGGUAGCAGCUCGUAUGUCGAAUUGUAUUGAAUGUAUCAAUAAUUUUGAAAUAUAAAAAAAUCCAAAUAAAUAAGUUUGUA